UCACUACAAACAGCACUCCAGUCAUUCACAGCAAAAUUCCCCUGGGCGCAGUGCUGAAGAUGAGAAGAAAGAGAGCUCGCUGCCCAAAUCAUUCAAGAGGAAGAUCGCCGUUGUCUCAGCUACCAAGGGGGUGCCAGCUAUAAACAGUGACACAGAGCGGGGCCAGCCUGGUCGGAAGCGAUGUUGGGGAGCCAGCACAGCCACGACACAGAAAAAAACCCUCCAUCAGUAUCACCACUGAAUUGCUCAAGAGCCUCAUCCCUGACAUCAAACCCCUGGAGGGGCAGGAGGCUGUUGUGGAUCUUCAUGCUGAUGACUCCCACAUCUCUGAGGAUGAGACAAAGCAUAACAGCGAUGAUGGGACUCAUGACAAGGGGCUGAAAAUACACCGGACAGUCACUCAGGUGUCAGUAGAGGUGGCCUUGCCCCCACCUGUAGAACACGAAGUAAAGAACGUGUCAUUAGGAGAUACCUUAACUCGGUGGUCCACUAGCCAGCAGAAGUCUGGAGUUUCCAUUACAGUCGAUGACCCAGUCCGAACUGCCCAGGUGCCCUCCCCGCCCCGGGGCAAGAUCAGUAACAUUGUUCAUAUCUCCAAUUUGGUUCGUCCCUUCACUUUAGGCCAACUGAAGGAGUUACUGGGGCAUACAAGAACCUUGGUGGAAGAAGCCUUCUGGAUUGACAAGAUCAAAUCUCAUUGCUUUGUAACGUACUCAACAGUAGAGGAAGCUGUUGCCACCCGCACAGCUCUGCAUGGGGUCAAAUGGCCCCAGUCCAAUCCCAAAUUCCUUUGUGCUGACUAUGCCAAGCAAGAUGAGCUGGACUAUCACCGUGGCCUCUUGGUGGACCGCCCCUCUGAAACUAAGACAGAUGAGCAAGGCUACCACGGCCCCUGCACCUCUCCCCACCCCCACCACCAGUCCAGCCACCACAGCACCCUCCGACAGAGCAGCGGGGGCAGGAGAGGGCAGUGCGGGAGCAGUGGGCAGAGCGGGAGCGGAAAUGGAGCGGCGGGAGCGAACUUGAUCGCUAGGGGCCACGUUCACGCUCGAGGUCCCGGUGACCGCCGCCGCCAAGAAAGCGCAAAGUCUAAAGAAAAGAAGAGUAAGAAGAAAAAGAAGGCCCAAGAGGAGACACCUGCCAAGCUGCUGGACCACCUUUUCUGAAAGACAAAGGCAGCUCCUUGCAUCUAUUGGCUCCCGCUGACUGACAGUCAAAUUGAUCAGAAGGAGGCAGAGCGGGCUGAACCGGCCAAGGAGCGGGAGAAGGAAGCUGAGCGGGAAAGGAACCGACAGUUGGAGCGGGAGAAACUUCGGGAGCACAGCCGGGAGAGGGACCGGGAGAGAGAGAGGGACAGGGGAGACCGAGACCGAGAUCGGGAGAGGGAGAGGGACAGGGACCGCGAGCGAGGCAGGGAGAGGGACCGCAGAGACACCAAGAGCCACAGCAGAAGCAGGAGUCGGAGCACACCUGUGCGGAACAGGGGCAGCCGCGGCUAGCGGGGACACCACUAGGAGACCUGCAGGUAACCAGCCACUCUGCCCCAGGGUUAUAGGCCACAGCGGGGUAGGCACAGUCACCACCCCCUGAAACUCGGUCUUCACACCAUUUGCCCAGUGCUGACGACGACUGCGUCCUGUCCCCACGUACCAGAUGGAGCAGCCUAGGCCUUGCCCCGCGCUGCCUCCUCCUCCUCCUAUCCCCUGGGACCUAGCCCUCCUCCCUCUCCUUUCUCAUCAUCCUAGAGAGGGAAGAGCUGGGUUAGGAGAGAGGGGGCCGGCCAGCGGGAACAGCCAGGUGCCCCACACCUCUCCAUCCCGCUCACCACCUCGGUGCAGCUUCCCUAGGAACAGCUGGGGCCAGGACUAGGUCAACU
rnacentral:lncRNA from 1 species